GACGGAGGGUGCAAGCGUUGUUCGGAAUUACUGGGCGUAAAGCGUGCGCAGGCGGUUAUGCAAGACAGAUGUGAAAUCCCCGGGCUCAACCUGGGAACUGCAUUUGUGACUGCAUGGCUCGAGUACGGUAGAGGGGGAUGGAAUUCCGCGUGUAGCAGUGAAAUGCGUAGAUAUGCGGAGGAACACCGAUGGCGAAGGCAAUCCCCUGGACCUGUACUGACGCUCAUGCACGAAAGCGUGGGGAGCAAACAGG
rnacentral:rRNA from 1 species